rnacentral:misc_RNA from 1 species
UCCCAAAUGAAAGAUAAAACAGAAAAGGAGGAUUUGGAUAGGAAUCGUUCUUCGGAUCACACUUAUUUAUCCCUCAAGUUUCCUUUUCCAGUACUUCUCCCUGAUAAUGAUUCUCCUUCUAAAUAUGGGAGCAGUGAAAAUGGCUUUGCAUCUGAUCCAUUCAGCAUUGGGACUCCAAGGAGCAGGCACAAAUUCACGUUGCUACUUUUGAAGUUGAGCUUAGCUGUGAUUUUAGUUCUUGCUCUUGCAGGAUCUUUCUGGUGGACUAUUUCAAUAUCAACCUUGUCAAGGGGUCAAAUACUUCAUAAUUAUAGGAAACUUCAGGAGCAACUUGUUUCAGACCUAUGGGAUAUUGGCGAGUUGUCUCUCGGUUCUUCAAGGUUUAAGGAAGUGGAUUUCUGUUCGCAGGAGUCUGAAAAUUAUGUCCCUUGCUUCAAUGUUUCGGAGAAUCUUGCUUUGGGUUUUUCUGAUGG